UGGGGAAUAUUGGACAAUGGGCGCAAGCCUGAUCCAGCCAUGCCGCGUGAGUGAUGAAGGCCCUAGGGUUGUAAAGCUCUUUCAGCGAGGAGGAUAAUGACGUUACUCGCAGAAGAAGCCCCGGCUAACUUCGUGCCAGCAGCCGCGGUAAUACGAAGGGGGCUAGCGUUGUUCGGAAUCACUGGGCGUAAAGCGCACGUAGGCGGACUUUUAAAGUCAGGGGUGAAAUCCCGGGGCUCAACCUCGGAACUGCCUUUGAUACUGGAAGUCUGGAGUCCGAGAGAGGUGAGUGGAACUCCGAGUGUAGAGGUGAAAUUCGUAGAUAUUCGGAAGAACACCAGUGGCGAAGGCGGCUCACUGGCUCGGUACUGACGCUGAGGUGCGAAAAGCGUGGGGAGCAAAACAGGAUUAGAUACCCUGGUAGUCCACGCCGUAAAACGAUGGAAGCUAGCCGUCAGGGUGCAUGCAUCUUGGUGGCGCAGUUAACGCAUUAAGCUUCCCGCCUGGGGAGUACGGUCGCAAGAUUAAAAACUCAAAGGAAUUGACGGGGUCAUAGCUGUUUCCU
rnacentral:rRNA from 1 species